CCUACGGGGGGCUGCAGUGGGGAAUAUUGGACAAUGGGGGCAACCCUGACCCAGCCAUGCCGCGUGUGUGAAGAAGGCCCUCGGGUUGUAAAGCACUUUCAGUGAGGAAGAACGCCUGGUGGUUAAUACCCAUCAGGAAAGACAUCACUCACAGAAGAAGCACCGGCUAACUCCGUGCCAGCAGCCGCGGUAAUACGGAGGGUGCGAGCGUUAAUCGGAAUUACUGGGCGUAAAGCGCGCGUAGGUGGCUUGAUAAGCCGGUUGUGAAAGCCCCGGGCUCAACCUGGGAACGGCAUCCGGAACUGUCAAGCUAGAGUGCAGGAGAGGAAGGUAGAAUUCCCGGUGUAGCGGUGAAAUGCGUAGAGAUCGGGAGGAAUACCAGUGGCGAAGGCGGCCUUCUGGACUGACACUGACACUGAGGUGCGAAAGCGUGGGUAGCAAACAGGAUUAGAUACCCUGGUAGUC
rnacentral:rRNA from 1 species